CCUGCAUGUAGUGUCCAGGUACACAGUGCUCCCCUGCAUGUAGAGUCCAGGUACACAGCACUCCCCCUGCAUGUAGUGAACAGUAACACAGCGCUCCCCCUGCAUGUAGUGUCCAGUAACACAGUGCUCCCCCUGAAUGUAGUGUCCAGGUACACAGCGCUCCCCCUGCAUGUAGUGUCCAGUAACACAGUGCUCCCCCUGCAUGUAGUGUCCAGGUACACAGUGCUCCCCCUGCAUGUAGUGUCCAGGUACACAGUGCUGCCUCUGCAUGUAGAGUCCAGGUACACAGCACUCCCCCUGCAUGUAGUGUCCAGAUACACAGUGCUCCCCCUGCAUGUAGUGUCCAGUAACACAGUGCUCCCCCUGCAUGUAGUGUCCAGGUACACCGUGCUCCCUCUGCAUGUAGAGUCCAGGUACACAGUGUGCCCCCUGCAUGUAGUGUCCAGGUACACUGUGUGCCCCCUGCAUGUAGUGUCCAGGUACACCGUGCUCCCUCUGCAUGUAGAGUCC